rnacentral:rRNA from 1 species
GACGAACGCUGGCGGCGUGCUUAACACAUGCAAGUCGAACGAUGAUGCCCAGCUUGCUGGGUUGAUUAGUGGCGAACGGGUGAGUAACACGUGAGUAACCUGCCCAUCACUCUGGGAUAACUCCGGGAAACCGGUGCUAAUACCGGGUAUGACUCCGAUCCGCAUGGGUACGGGGUGGAAAGAUUUAUCGGUGGUGGAUGGACUCGGGGCCUAUCAGCUUGUUGGUGGGGUAAUGGCCUACCAAGGCGACGACGGGUAGCCGGCCUGAGAGGGUGACCGGCCACACUGGGACUGAGACACGGCCCAGACUCCUACGGGAGGCAGCAGUGGGGAAUAUUGCACAAUGGGCGGAAGCCUGAUGCAGCGACGCCGCGUGCGGGAUGACGGCCUUCGGGUUGUAAACCGCUUUCAGCUCUGACGAAGCUUUUGUGACGGUAGGAGCAGAAGAAGCACCGGCUAACUACGUGCCAGCAGCCGCGGUAAGAC